rnacentral:rRNA from 12 species
CCUCACUGUCCUGUGAGUGACUGAUCCCAUUCGAUCUUGGAAGCUAAGCUGUCCCUGGUUAGUACUUGGAUGGGAAACCACCUUGGAAGACCAGGGGCCGUUAGAC